rnacentral:tRNA from 1 species
GCCUCUAUAGCUCAACGGAAAGAGCAAUCGCCUCCUAAGCGGUUGAUCCAGGUUCAAUUCCUGGUAGAGGCA